UGACUAGAGAUGUGCAUUGAGUUGCC
rnacentral:piRNA from 1 species